rnacentral:rRNA from 1 species
ACGAAGGGGGCUAGCGUUGUUCGGAAUCACUGGGCGUAAAGCGCGCGUAGGCGGACUUUUAAGUCAGGGGUGAAAUCCCGGGGCUCAACCUCGGAACUGCCUUUGAUACUGGAAGUCUUGAGUUCGAGAGAGGUGAGUGGAAUACCGAGUGUAGAGGUGAAAUUCGUAGAUAUUCGGUGGAACACCAGUGGCGAAAGGCGGCCUCACUGGCUGAAUACUGACGCUGAGGUGCGAAAAGCGUGGGGGAGCAAAACAGGGAUUAGAUACCCGGGUAGUCC